rnacentral:tRNA from 1 species
GGUUAUAUAGUCAUAUAUAUAUGAUGUUGAAUUGCAAAUUCAGAGGAGAAGUUUCAUUCUAUAAUCU